GUGGGGAAUUUUGGACAAUGGGCGCAAGCCUGAUCCAGCCAUUCCGCGUGCAGGAUGAAGGCCUUCGGGUUGUAAACUGCUUUUGUACGGAACGAAAAGGUUCUCUCUAAUACAGGGGGCUGAUGACGGUACCGUAAGAAUAAGCACCGGCUAACUACGUGCCAGCAGCCGCGGUAAUACGUAGGGUGCAAGCGUUAAUCGGAAUUACUGGGCGUAAAGCGUGCGCAGGCGGUGAUGUAAGACAGAUGUGAAAUCCCCGGGCUCAACCUGGGAACUGCAGUUGUGACUGCAUUGCUGGAGUGCGGCAGAGGGGGAUGGAAUUCCGCGUGUAGCAGUGAAAUGCGUAGAUAUGCGGGGGAACACCGAUGGCGAAGGCAAUCCCCUGGGCCUGCACUGACGCUCAUGCACGAAAGCGUGGGGAGCAAACAGGAUUAGAAACCCCAGUAGUCC
rnacentral:rRNA from 1 species